AGUUUUGAUCCUGGCUCAGGAUGAACGCUAGCUACAGGCUUAACACAUGCAAGUCGAGGGGAAACGACAUCGAAAGCUUGCUUUUGAUGGGCGUCGACCGGCGCACGGGUGAGUAACGCGUAUCCAACCUGCCCACCACUUGGGGAUAACCUUGCGAAAGUAAGACUAAUACCCAAUGACGUCUCUAGAAGACAUCUGAAGGAGAUUAAAGAUUUAUCGGUGAUGGAUGGGGAUGCGUCUGAUUAGCUUGUUGGCGGGGUAACGGCCCACCAAGGCGACGAUCAGUAGGGGUUCUGAGAGGAAGGUCCCCCACAUUGGAACUGAGACACGGUCCAAACUCCUACGGGAGGCAGCAGUGAGGAAUAUUGGUCAAUGGGCGAGAGCCUGAACCAGCCAAGUAGCGUGCAGGAUGACGGCCCUAUGGGUUGUAAACUGCUUUUAUAAGGGAAUAAAGUGAGUCUCGUGAGACUUUUUGCAUGUACCUUAUGAAUAAGGACCGGCUAAUUCCGUGCCAGCAGCCGCGGUAAUACGGAAGGUCCGGGCGUUAUCCGGAUUUAUUGGGUUUAAAGGGAGCGUAGGCCGGAGAUUAAGCGUGUUGUGAAAUGUAGACGCUCAACGUCUGCACUGCAGCGCGAACUGGUUUCCUUGAGUACGCACAAAGUGGGCGGAAUUCGUGGUGUAGCGGUGAAAUGCUUAGAUAUCACGAAGAACUCCGAUUGCGAAGGCAGCUCACUGGAGCGCAACUGACGCUGAAGCUCGAAAGUGCGGGUAUCGAACAGGAUUAGAUACCCUGGUAGUCCGCACGGUAAACGAUGGAUGCCCGCUGUUGGUCUGAAUAGGUCAGCGGCCAAGCGAAAGCAUUAAGCAUCCCACCUGGGGAGUACGCCGGCAACGGUGAAACUCAAAGGAAUUGACG
rnacentral:rRNA from 1 species